CAAAAGAUAAUCUAUUUUUCUUUUGACCCGGACUUAUAAUACACUGACUUAUUUAAAUGACGAUAUAUAUAUUAUUAUAAUUUUAGGGAUAAUUAUAAUAAUAAUAAUUAUUAUUAUUAUUAUAAUUUGAACUAAACAUUAUAAUUGUCUACAACAAUUUGUUGACUGUAAGUAAUAGCAGGACCCGUCUUGAAACACGGACCAAGGAGUCUAGCAUAUAUGCAAGUCUUUGGACUUUUAAAUAUAUCCAAUAGGCAUAAUUAACGUGAAUGUUAUUUGUUUUACAUAUAUAUGUAUAUAUAUAUGUAUAUAUUAUAUUAUUAGUUCUAUAUUACAUUUAUGUGAUAUAGUCUAUAUUAUAUAUAUACUAUAUAUAUACAUAUAUAUAUGCAUAAUAAACUAAGGGAAGAUAAGUGGUUUUUAAAUGCUGCUUCGCAUUCCCGGGGCGUUCCA
rnacentral:rRNA from 1 species